GUGGGGAAUAUUGGACAAUGGGCGAAAGCCUGAUCCAGCAAUGCCGCGUGAGUGAAGAAGGCCUUAGGGUUGUAAAGCUCUUUUACCCGGGAAGAUAAUGACUGUACCGGGAGAAUAAGCUCCGGCUAACUCCGUGCCAGCAGCCGCGGUAAUACGGAGGGAGCUAGCGUUGUUCGGAAUCACUGGGCGUAAAGCGCACGUAGGCGGCUUUGUAAGUUAGAGGUGAAAGCCCGGGGCUCAACUCCGGAACUGCCUUUAAGACUGCAUCGCUUGAAUCUGGGAGAGGUAAGUGGAAUUCCGAGUGUAGAGGUGAAAUUCGUAGAUAUUCGGAAGAACACCAGUGGCGAAGGCGGCUUACUGGACCAGAAUUGACGCUGAGGUGCGAAAGCGUGGGGAGCAAACAGGAUUAGAAACCCGAGUAGUCC
rnacentral:rRNA from 1 species